GACGAACGCUGGCGGCGUGCCUAAUACAUGCAAGUUGAGCGCUGAAGGUUGGUACUUGUACCAACUGGAUGAGCAGCGAACGGGUGAGUAACGCGUGGGGAAUCUGCCUUUGAGCGGGGGACAACAUUUGGAAACGAAUGCUAAUACCGCAUAAAAACUUUAAACACAAGUUUUAAGUUUGAAAGAUGCAAUUGCAUCACUCAAAGAUGAUCCCGCGUUGUAUUAGCUAGUUGGUGAGGUAAAGGCUCACCAAGGCGAUGAUACAUAGCCGACCUGAGAGGAUGAUAAGCAACACUGGAAAUGAGACACGGUCAAGAGUCGUAAGGGAGGAAGAAGUGGGGAAUAUUGGAAAAGGGGGGCAAGCCUAAUCAAGCCAUACCGAGUGGGUGAAGAAGGGUUGGGGGUUGAAAAGACCGUUUGUUGGGAAAGAAAAGCAGGAGGGUAAUAAACAGCUGUGAUGACGGUAACCAAAGAAUAAGAAACGGCUAACUUCGUG
rnacentral:rRNA from 1 species